rnacentral:lncRNA from 1 species
GGGAUAUCUUUCCCAUUUAUUUUCUUCUCCCAACGAUGGUGGCUAAAUACUCGGGCCAGCCACCUACGAUGGCUCCUAGUGGCAGUAAGGCUAUGGCCCUGGCAAUGGCUACUAUGGCGAUUGGCAAAGCAAAGAAGAAAAUAGGGACCAUCCUGUUCAAGCCAACAUGAUGGCGAUUCGGUGGCUUGCCGGACUAAUUCAAGCAUCAGUAAUGAGAAGGCCGGG